rnacentral:rRNA from 1 species
AGAAUCAACGCUGGCGGCGUGCCUAACACAUGCAAGUCGAACGAGAAAGUGGAGCAAUCCAUGAGUAAAGUGGCGACCGGGUGAGUAACACGUGACUAACCUACCUUCAAGUGGGGGAUAACCUCGGGAAACCGGGGCUAAUACCGCAUAACAUCUUUGGAGUGGAAAUUCUGGAGAUCAAAGGAGCAAUUCGCUGGAAGAGGGGGUCGCGGCUGAUUAGCUAGUUGGCGGGGUAAUGGCCCACCAAGGCUUUGAUCGGUAGCCGGCCUGAGAGGGCGCACGGCCACACUGGAACUGAAACACGGUCCAGACUCCUACGGGAGGCAGCAGUGGGGAAUUUUGCGCAAUGGGGGAAACCCUGACGCAGCAACGCCGCGUGGAGGAUGAAGUCCCUUGGGACGUAAACUCCUUUCGACCGGAAGAUGAUGACGGUACCGGUGGAAGAAGCCCCGGCUAACUUCGCGCCAGCAGCCGC